GUUUUGCUCAGUACACUCUUUAGAUUCUUACAAACAACAUCAAAAAAACUAAAAACCGAAAAACCGAUACCAAAAAAAACAUACUCGUCGACACAAAGAGGUCCUUAUUUUAAGCAAACAGUGUAACUUUUUAUAAUUUUGUAAAAAAGUUGAUAAAAUUAAAAAAAAAAAAAAGAAAAUUAUCAAUUUUCUAAAAAUAAAAACCCAAAAAAGGACAUAAAAAAUGCCAAUAAAUAACAGGAACUAAAAACUACAAAAAAAAAAACUAUUAAACGAAACUAAAUAAAAAAAAAAUAUUCUCCAAUUUGAUUUGGAGAAACUGUUGAUAUUGAUAUCGGCAUGGAUAUACCUGGCUUUACCUAAACAUAACUGGAUAUAACUCGGACUUGACAAAGAUAUAUAUAUAUAUAUAAAUGUAAAAAAAUAUAUAUAAUCUAUUAUAGACCUGGAUUCUAAUUAGGAUGACUGCGAGUUGGUUGCUUAUCUUCAGUGAUCCAUGAUCCAUGAUCUUAUUUAUACAGUGAUACAGAGCUUGUUCUUGCCUACGAACGCCUGGGGGGUCUUCUCUCAUAUCUUCAAUCCUGGGCUUCACGAUAUGGUACACUGUCAUCUGAUUCACUUGUUCACGCUCAGUGGCUUCUUUCGAAAAUUGCACUGGAAUAGUUUCGUACGACUAUCUGGGAGAAAUUUGUUGUUUAUCUGUUCGGAUGGUGGAGUUGUUGUAAAUUCUGGUUAUCAAUACAGUAAUUCUCUUUGGCAAUAAAUAUACAAAACAAA